GGUUCGAUUCCGGCUCGAAGGAGACUUUUCAUUUUUUCCCCUCAUACCCCUGCUGGGGACAGCCCGGCUUUUAGGGCUCAGUCGCCCUGGAAUAAGAGCUGCCCGGCACGGACUGUACAAGGAUCGGGCCAAAACAUGACAAGUAUAUGCACAUUUAGCUUCCACUGAAAUCAAGUGCAGUUGAAAAUGUAUACCAGACAACAGAAAUUGGUCCCUCAGAGCAAGGGAAGUAAUUACGUGCUGCAUACUUACAGGUAGGUGGAAAUGGCUUACAGGUCGAUAUUGCUGUUGAAGUAAAUGGGAGUUUUUCCCCUUGAUUACAGUGAGAGCAGCAGCAGGUCCAUAAUGUCUGCAUAGCUACAUAGCGGCCAUAUAUACCACUAAAAAGCAUUAUCAGGUUUUUAAGUGUCAUAGGACCUUUAAAUGGGGCUUUGCAAAGUAAUGUUUAGUGACUCUAGAGUUACAGCUAAAGCUAUAAAACAUAUACUGAUUUCUAGCUAUAUAUUUAGCUAUAGCUGAAUGGCAUAUCAUGUGAAAGGUGACAAUGAGAGGAAAAAAAUGUUUCACAACUACAGAAUCCAAUUUUUAAAAAAGAAAUAAUUUACACUUUGACAAGCUAUAUAGUCCCUCGUCUCUAUAAUUUAGUAGGGUAUUACAUCCUCCCUUGUACCAAACUGCGAAUAGAGAAACAAAAAUAGUAAAUGUACAGAACUGACAAUGAUUGAUGUAAUAUUUUCAAAAAAGGCACUAUAGAUUAUGGAAGGAUAAAACUAAUGUGUCAGAUCAAUGAAAGACUAAGUUCAAGAUUUCUGAAGAAUUGCUUUAGCUUUUUCAAGUUAGGGGAGUGAUUCUCCUCUAACGUAUCCCAGUUUUAUCCAGGCAUAACUCCACUGGCUUCAGCAGAAAUACAUUUGAUUUAUUCCACUGUAAAAACGUAGAAUCAGGACCUAAAUAUGUAUACUUUAUGUUAAAAGCAUACAGUAUUUUCUUCUCUCUGACAAUAUCUCUCUGGCAUUCCUAGACUGCAGUCACAAGAAUUAACACUGCAAGAAUUUUGUGAAACAGUGCAUCACAACUGAAGACUGCAUUUUGCUUAAAAUGGAAGUUUAAGUGCAAAGGAUAUUUCUCACUAAUACACACCAUACCCCGCCCCCCAUCACACUUUGCCUGUACAGAAGAAUACCUGGAUUAAAGGCCUGUGUGAAGGAGGAGGAAACAGGAGACUGGGUGCUGGAUCAGAUCAGAAUUAUUACGAGAAGCCAGCCCUAUCUUGAUUUGUCUUCCUCUGUUAGAGAGCUACCCAUUGUCUUUUAUGAAUGGAUGGCUGUCUUUCCUCUCUUUCCAGUCAAUUCACAACUGUCCCUCUGCCCUGGAGUGAGCAUGGGGGAAUGGAUCAUACUGAGAUCUUAGAAGAACAGUGGAGAAAGAAGCAACAGACAGCCAGCACCACAGAGGAGUAAGCAAGCAAACAGGUGGUUGUCUGUUGACUGUCUAAGGUAUGUUCCAGAACAUCCCAGUGGAGCUAGGGCAGAGGAAGGCAGGUAGUCAGAAGAGCCAGGGAAGUGACAACCCAGGGUUUCCAAAUAGAAAAUAGAACUUAGACAUGAGGAGUCAGGUGGGUCAGCCACAGAUAAAAGGGGAGUUGAUGGUGUCAAGCCUAAGACGGUGCUCUUCAGAUGGCAAUCACAUAACACUUCCUGUUUGGCAGAGACAGACCCUUCCUCUUUUGUUGAUGAAAACAUUUCUGUGGCUCUCUCAAAGGAAACAGCAGCUUUAUAGAUGUAGCAAACACAUAUGGCAAACUAACAUUCCAUUGGCAGGCAACAACGGAGCUGGUGCUUCCAGAAGAGGACUUCAAGACAGACACUGGGAAAAAUUCUGGUUUAGAUGAAGGCAGGGAAUCCCAGUUGAGAGGAGUGGGAGAGAGGUGCAGUAUUAAAUACAAUAUGGUUUAUCGAAGGGAUACUUCAUCCUUGAAGAUAUUAACAUGUUUCAGGCCACUCUGCUUAUCAAUAUAGCAGAGUAAGCAUCUCAGUGAAGAGCACAGAGGAUAGGCCUUAUAUAGGCUGUAGAGAAAGUAUGUACCCACAGGAAAUUACUUUCAGUUUAUCUUAACACCAAAUACAAAUAUUGGGGG